rnacentral:rRNA from 1 species
UACGUAGGGUGCGAGCGUUGUCCGGAAUUAUUGGGCGUAAAGAGCUCGUAGGCGGUCUGUCGCGUCGAUCGUGAAAACUUGGGGCUUAACCCUGAGCUUGCGGUCGAUACGGGCAUGACUGGAGUUCGGCAGGGGAGACUGGAAUUCCUGGUGUAGCGGUGAAAUGCGCAGAUAUCAGGAGGAACACAGGUGGCGAAGGCGGGUCUCUGGGCCGAUACUGACGCUGAGGCACGAAGGUCAGGGGAGCAAACGGG